rnacentral:misc_RNA from 1 species
AUGGCUGCUACUAUAUUUCGCGACCGUCACCUAUACACACUCCCACAAACACACGUACCCAAGUACCGACCGACGAUACUCGCCAACUUUUCUAAUUGGCUAUCUUUCUUUAAGCCGCGAAUAUUACGUUCUACUACGACCGACACUGGACAUCGAAAACCGCUGAUUGGAUCGAUCUGUUUCAAAGCUUCAUUCACCUGUUUGAUUUUAUGCAUUAUUUCAUUAACGAACUGUUUCCGUUCAAAGAAUUUUAUUUCCCGACAAUGGAAACAGUUGCUCGCUAACUCAGUAGUUACAAUAAUGGCUGUAUCAACAGAAAGUAUAAUGACCACAAGCCUCAAUGACCCUGUAACCAAAGCAGUAAUGGAUAAUAUAAUGGGUAAUUUACCCACAAAAAAGCCUCUUGUUAGAUGCGAUGAUUGUGAUCUUUCAUUUACAAGUCAAACAGUAUUAGAUACUCAUUUACAAGGUGCUCGCCAUGCUAAACAGAUGAGAUCCAAGAACAUAAUGGCAUCUCUUGAAGAAACAAAAGUAUCAUUUACAAAAGAUGAAGAAACAAAUGGAUUAAAAUGCAACGUGUGUAAUGUUUGUCUAAACUCUAUUCAGCAACUUCAGACACAUUUGAAUGGAAGCCGACAUAAAAAGAAAGCAAUGAGAGAACAGAUCGCAUUUUUCACACCCACGUGGACGAAGAACUUUCUGUGGUUUCACUAGUUGCUCCACAAACACUUGGUGUACUCACGGUUUUGAUUGAGCAAGUAGGACAGUGUGCAUAUGAUGUCUGGUGACUGAACACAGAAAAAAUAGGAAGAUAACAAGAUGUAUCAUCAAAAUGAAAUCACACGUAAUGGAUGACCAUGUAAAAUUGUAUUUUAUAUAGAUUUUUAUUUUUCUUUUUUAAAUGAAAUUUUUGAGACUUGUAACAAAUAAGAUCUAAAGGGUGUUCUGCUGGAA